rnacentral:lncRNA from 1 species
AGUCCCGGCUAGGGACACAGCUCUUAGACUUUGAGCUAGACAACCAGGAGGACAGGAGGACCUAGUAUCCUGCCUCCAUCAGCCCAUCAUUUAUGCAAAUGCUACUUAGUUGCCGUCUAGAUGCAGGAUGCUGUCUGCCCUGUUAAAUGCUGUGUGAACCCAGAUGGAAGCUGAGCAGACAUCACACUCGUGAGCAGCUCCCCUUCCUGUGAGCAUCUCCCCUUCCUACAGGUUUCAGGCUGGCCUUGAACUUACAGGGAUUCACCUGCCUCUGCCUCCCAGAUGCUGAGAUUAAAGGCAUGUGCCAUCACCACCUGAACAACAGCAGCUUUCUAAGGAACCAGUAAGGCACUACAGACUUUUCAUAUAACAUCACCUUCAUUCUCUCACAACUAAUUCUACAAAACAGAUGUUAUACGACCUCGUUCGCUGAAGUCAAAGAUGCAGAGGGGCCAAGGUGUGGGCUCCGGACCUCACACCAGUGUGGCAGAUUCAACAAGCCCAGAAUAAGCCUCUUCCUUUGCUCACAAUAAGAUUUAUUAUAGAAGCAACAACUUCUGCAUACCAGAGGUGAGAGAUGCAGCAAUCCUCUCCGUGCUCAUGAAGCUUAAAAUUUGGGGGAGAAAGUAGAGAAAAAUUAAGCCAACUGCCUCUUCAUUCCUCAGUCACACUCCUCCUCUGACCCUGCUCCAGGAGGCUCAUCUUGUCAGACUUCACACUGAAUGAGCGCUGAGGAUGCUGUAGAGUAUGAGCUGUGUGCAGGUGAUAGCAGUGGAAAGAAGACUAAGACAGACUCCAUCUAGAAACCAGAAUGACCUCUUUUAUGGAAAAAGAGACUGUAUCACUCGUGUUUCUACCCACAAAAACCUCCACUGUGAGCUCUCUCUCACCUAGGCAGGAGUCUGCAUGGCCCCGCUCUUGCCACAUCGCCAACCCCAGCCUUUGUCACUCUCUCAUAACCACUCUGUCCCUGUACAGAUACAUGAUCUGUUCCUCCCACACAUCAGCUCUUCCUGACGCUGGGCCUUUGCAUAUGUUCUUCUGCCUCAUGCCUUUCCUCCUCUUCCUGCAGGAUUGCUAUCUUCUGGUCCUGUACUCCUCAAGCUCAAAGGCCAACGUCCUGGCAUUUGUGUGACGGCUUUUGCCCUACCCUGCAGAAUUUGCAAUAGGCAGUCUCUACAUGUACUCAGGGCCCAGUGGGCAUUCAACAUGUUCAUUGAAUGACAA